AAUCAACGCUGGCGGCGUGCCUCAGACAUGCAAGUCGAACGAGAAAGUUUCCUUCGGGAGAUGAGUAAAGUGGCGCACGGGUGAGUAACACGUAGGUAAUCUACCUUCGGGUGGGGAAUAACCCAGGGAAACUUGGGCUAACACCGCAUAAUGCAGCGGCACCACAUGGUGACAGUUGUUAAAGCGGGGGAGUUUUAGGUACCUCGCGCCUGAAGAGGAGCCUGCGGCGGAUUAGCUAGNGGUUAAGGUAACGGCUUACCAAGGCGACGAUCCGUAACCGGCCUGAGAGGGCGGUCGGCCACACUGACACUGACAUACGGGUC
rnacentral:rRNA from 1 species